CCUACGGGAGACAGCAGUGAGGAAUAUUGGUCAAUGGACGAGAGUCUGAACCAGCCAAGUAGCGUGAAGGAUGACUGCCCUAUGGGUUGUAAACUUCUUUUAUAUGGGAAUAAAAUGUUCCACGUGUGGGAUUUUGUAUGUACCAUAUGAAUAAGGAUCGGCUAACUCCGUGCCAGCAGCCGCGGUAAUACGGAGGAUCCGAGCGUUAUCCGGAUUUAUUGGGUUUAAAGGGAGCGUAGGUGGAUUGUUAAGUCAGUUGUGAAAGUUUGCGGCUCAACCGUAAAAUUGCAGUUGAAACUGGCAGUCUUGAGUACAGUAGAGGUGGGCGGAAUUCGUGGUGUAGCGGUGAAAUGCUUAGAUAUCACGAAGAACUCCGAUUGCGAAGGCAGUUCACUGUACUGCAACUGACACUGAGGCUCGAAAGUGUGGGUAUCAAACAGGAUUAGAUACCCCAGUAGUC
rnacentral:rRNA from 1 species